rnacentral:lncRNA from 1 species
AUGCAUUGUCAUUGGUGCAGCCUGUUUCAGGAAGAGAGCUCUGAAAUGGAGGAACACUGCAGCGACUUUCUCUUCUCUACCAGAAUUAGUCCUUCCUUAUUAACAUCUUGUCUCAGAGCAAAAAAUACUGUACUGUUGAGGAGGUUGCAAGUAAUACAGAGGGAAAGAUAUUGGAAUGUGCCUUCUGUGGCUGUCAUCUAUCCAAGCACCCAUCGUGCUGUCUCCAAAGAUCAGUAGUGUCUGGGAUUUCCAGGUCCCAGGAAGGCUGAUUAGCUCUCACACAGUGCCAAACCCAAGCUGCGUCCAUUCAGUUGCACCUACAGCACCAGCCUUCUCACAGAUAAGUUCUAAUGGACUAGUCUGACUGCACCGUCACUUCUCACAUCAUGACCCCCAUUACUAAUACACAGUGAGAUAUCAAGCUGGCUCUGUACAUUAUUCGUUUGGUCUCCUAUCACAGGAAUGCGGCUACUUUGCUUUCAGAUGUGACCUGGCUCUGUAAUUAGUUUAGUCAAAUUUGUAUAGUGCUGUUUUGACAGGUGAGACCUGCAAGAUCUCGCCUGUAAGACUAGUGAGUUGUGCAUAUGCCAGCUCCUGUACAUCUGUGGCUUCGUUAAUUGCAAUUUAGGUAAACAAACUCCAGAUAACUGUCUUAGACAGAAGUGGUCAUGUGCUGAUCAAGCUUAAUAUGAGAAUAACCUCUCCUAAAGGCUCCAGAACUAGUUAAUUCAAAAAGCAUGUCUUUAUGUGACACAUUACUUCAUAGAGUAUUCCUACUGGUCUUUAAGACUUAUUUGUGACUUUAACUUUCUUUUAGUAUUGCAUACUAUCCCUUUCCUGCCCCCUCCUGUGAGGAAAAUUCGUACUAUAGCCUUUCAAAGGCAUUUGUAAUUUUAGGAAUUGAAAUUUUCAUUGCUGUAGAUUUUGAAAUACACUCUCUCCAGACAUAAAUGCCAUUAAACAAUUGAAUACUGUUACACACCAUGUGGAUCACGAUGGUGCUCCUCUAAGCACACAAAAUCAGUUCCAACUAAAAUGUGCUGGGGUUUGAGGCACAUAUAUUUGUUUGGGAUCGCCAUAAUCUGUCCGUGUAUCCCAGCUCUUAUGCUCCAUUUAAGUGAUUGCAACUCCUAUCUGCUUUAUCAGAGGGAAUGUGAUAGAAUAGUAGCAGAAACUCCUUCUUUUGCUGCCCUGAGUAAGCAGGAAUAGCAGCAGUAUUUACCAAAAAUUAUAUACCCGUAUACAUCUAGUUAGGACAGUGCAGGAAUUUUUUUCACUUACUAUAAAAUCCUCUGCUAGGGCAGUGUGAGCAUUCUCAGAUUUCCUAGAGCAAUCAUUGGGAGCAUUUCUGGGUGCGUGCAAAGGAUGGCACAUAGCCAGAAGUAUCAUUUUUAGCUGUCAGAACAUAAGUUGUGCUCAGUUCAUAUUCUAAAACACUGAAAGCACAUGUUAGAAAUACUUUUUUUUUUUUAAGUGAAAGAUGAGAAUGUCUGAAAUUAAAUUAAAUUAAAUGGGAGCUGUGACCAUAAACAUUGGUUUGAAGGAUGUGUCUCUUAGGAUCUGCUGUCUGACCUUCUUGCGGUUGCUUCUCCCAUUUACUGCUCAUGCCUUUGUCUUAUUUUCUUCUGUUAGGAACAAACAUGAGAUCAUAGGAAUGGAAGGGUUCCAGUAACCUAGAGUCACGGAUAAUUAUAUAACCAAAUCUUGUUCAUAAACAUAACUAAUCAUAUUAUACAAAAAAACCAAACCCUAGCUUAAGAAGCACAAAAAUUAUGGUUGAUACACAAUAAAUUUAAAGUUAGUCACA